AAUGAACGCUGGCGGCAUGCCUAACACAUGCAAGUCGAACGAGAGCUUCGGGUUUACUGGCGCACGGGUGCGUAAAGGGGGGGAACCUGCCCUUAGGUUUGGAAUAACUCCCCGAAAGGGGUGCUAAUACCGGCUAAUGUACUCGGACCAAAGAUUGAUCGCAUUUGGGUGGGCCCGCGUUGGAUUAGCUAGUUGGUAGGGAAAAAGCCUACCAAGGCUACGAUCGAUAGCUGGUCUGAGAGGAAGAUCAGAGACCCUGGGACUGAGACGCGGCCCGGACUCUUGCAGGAGGCGGCAGUGGGGGAUAUAGGAAUAUCGCGGGAGGGAUGAUGGAGCAAGGCCGCGUAAGUGAUGAAGGCCGUAGGGUAGUAAAGCACUUUUACCCGGGGUGAUAAUGACAGUACCGAGAGAAUAAGCACCGGCUAACUCCGUG
rnacentral:rRNA from 1 species